AAGGAGCGAGAGAGUCGAGUGG
rnacentral:misc_RNA from 1 species